AGUGGUGAGCAGCGCUUGUGAACUGGGGCUGGGCUUUACACAACAUGCCCAGAAGAUGGGGACAGUUCAGGAGCCCUUUCAACAACAGCCACCCUGGCCAGUGGCGGUCAUGAUCCCCGUUUGCAGAUGGCGGUACAGCAACUCCGAGAGGCCCUAGGGCUCGCCCCAGGUCACACAGUUAACAAGUUGGGAUUAGCCCCGAAUCCGCUGGGUUCAACAGACCGCUCCCUUGCCACCAGAUGUCCCUGACAGCCCACAGUGCUGUGCCCGUGCUUGCCGCCGCUCGACCUCAAAACAUUUAGCCACUGGUGCAUCCAGUGUACGAGAACCUCAAGGCACAGAGACUUUAAGUGACUUGCCCAAGAUGGUGAAAAUGCCAACAGGCGGAGCCGGCACGGAAGUCAGACUUGAGCACCUGUGCUAGGCCCACUGCUGCCCACGGAUGAGCGUGGCCAGCUGGGUGGGCCUCAGAGAGGGGCACUUCAGUCAGCCUGGGCAGGCUUCUUGGAAGAAGCAUAGAUGGCCUGAGCCCGAAGGAAUGAAGCAGACAGCAAAGAGGGAGAGACUAGACUCCCAGGCACAGAGAA